rnacentral:tRNA from 1 species
GGGGGCGUGGUGCAGUUGGUUAGCACGCAGGCCUGUCAAGCCUGAGGUCGCGGGUUCAAGUCCCGUCGCUCCCGCCA